CCUACGGGGGGCAGCAGUGAGGAAUAUUGGUCAAUGGGCGGAAGCCUGAACCAGCCAAGUAGCGUGCGGGAUGAAGGCCCUACGGGUCGUAAACCGCUUUUGCACGGGGAUAACACCCUCCACUUGUGGAGGUCUGCAGGUACCGUGCGAAUAAGGGUCGGCUAAUUCCGUGCCAGCAGCCGCGGUAAUACGGAAGGUCCGAGCGUUAUCCGGAUUUAUUGGGUUUAAAGGGAGCGUAGGCGGGCGUUCAAGUCAGCUGUAAAAUCGCGGGGCUCAACCGCGCCCCGCAGUUGAAACUGGAAGACUUGAGUUCGCGACAGGCAGGCGGAAUUCGUGGUGUAGCGGUGAAAUGCAUAGAUAUCGCGAAGAACCCCGAUUGCGAAGGCAGCGUACCGGGGUGCGACUGACGCUGAGGCACGAAGGUGCGGGUAUCGAACAGGAUUAGAUACCCCAGUAGUC
rnacentral:rRNA from 1 species